GAUGAACGCUGGCGGCGUGCCUAAUACAUGCAAGUCGAGCGAACAGAUAAGGCGCUUGCUCCUUUGACGUUAGCGGCGGACGGGUGAGUAACACGUGGGUAACCUACCUAUAAGACUGGGAUAACUUCGGGAAACCGGAGCUAAUACCGGAUAACAUUUGGAACCGCAUGGUUCUAAAGUGAAAGAUGGUUUUGCUAUCACUUAUAGAUGGACCCGCGCCGUAUUAGCUAGUUGGUAAGGUAACGGCUUACCAAGGCGACGAUACGUAGCCGACCUGAGAGGGUGAUCGGCCACACUGGAACUGAGACACGGUCCAGACUCCUACGGGAGGCAGCAGUAGGGAAUCUUCCGCAAUGGGCGAAAGCCUGACGGAGCAACGCCGCGUGAGUGAUGAAGGGUUUCGGCUCGUAAAACUCUGUUAUUAGGGAAGAACAAACGUGUAAGUAACUGUGCACGUCUUGACGGUACCUAAUCAGAAAGCCACGGCUAACUACGUG
rnacentral:rRNA from 1 species